rnacentral:rRNA from 1 species
CACGUAGGUUGUUAUGUAAGUUGAGUGUGAAAUCCCUCGGCUCAACCGAGGAGCUGCGCUCAAAACUACAUAACUAGAGUACAGGAGAGGAGAGUGGAAUUCCCAAUGUAGCGGUGGAAUGCGUAGAUAUUGGGAGGAACACCAGUGGCGAAGGCGUCUCUCUGGACUGAUACUGACACUGAGGUGCGAAAGCUAGGGGAGCAAACG